rnacentral:rRNA from 1 species
AGUGAACGCUGGCGGUAGGCCUAACACAUGCGAGUCGAACGGCAGCACAGUAAGAGCUUGCUCUUACGGGUGGCGAGUGGCGGACGGGUGAGGAAUACAUCGGAAUCUGCUUUUUCGUGGGGGAUAACGUAGGGAAACUUACGCUAAUACCGCAUACGACCUACGGGUGAAAGCAGGGGAUCUUCGGACCUUGCGCGAUUGAAUGAGCCGAUGUCGGAUUAGCUAGUUGGCGGGGUAAAGGCCCACCGAGGCGACGAUCCGUAGCUGGUCUGAGAGGAUGAUCAGCCACACUGGAACUGAGACACGGUCCAGACUCCUACGGGAGGCAGCAGUGGGGAAUAUUGGACAAUGGGCGCAAGCCUGAUCCAGCCAUACCGCGUGGGUGAAGAAGGCCUUCGGGUUGUAAAGCCCUUUUGUUGGGAAAGAAAAGCAGCAGGUUAAUACCCCGCUGUUCUGACGGUACCCAAAGAAUAAGCACCGGCUAACUUCGUG